GACGAACGCUGGCGGCGUGCUUAACACAUGCAAGUCGAACGGUAAGGCCCUUCGGGGUACACGAGUGGCGAACGGGUGAGUAACACGUGGGUAAUCUGCCCUGCACUUCGGGAUAAGCCUGGGAAACUGGGUCUAAUACCGGAUAUUCAGUUCCUGCCGCAUGGUGGGGGUUGGAAAGUUUUUCGGUGCAGGAUGAGCCCGCGGCCUAUCAGCUUGUUGGUGGGGUAAUAGCCUACCAAGGCGACGACGGGUAGCCGGCCUGAGAGGGUGAUCGGCCACACUGGGACUGAGACACGGCCCAGACUCCUACGGGAGGCAGCAGUGGGGAAUAUUGCACAAUGGGCGAAAGCCUGAUGCAGCGACGCCGCGUGAGGGAUGACGGUCUUCGGAUUGUAAACCCCUUUCAGUAGGGACGAAGCGCAAGUGACGGUACCUGCAGAAGAAGCACCGGCCAACUACGUG
rnacentral:rRNA from 1 species